GAUGAACGCUGGCGGCGUGCCUAAUACAUGCAAGUCGAGCGAACAGACGAGGAGCUUGCUCCUUCGACGUUAGCGGCGGACGGGUGAGUAACACGUAGGUAACCUACCUAUAAGACUGGGAUAACUUCGGGAAACCGGAGCUAAUACCGGAUAAUAUUUCGAACCGCAUGGUUCGAUAGUGAAAGAUGGCUUUGCUAUCACUUAUAGAUGGACCUGCGCCGUAUUAGCUAGUUGGUAAGGUAACGGCUUACCAAGGCAACGAUACGUAGCCGACCUGAGAGGGUGAUCGGCCACACUGGAAGUGAGACACGGUCCAGACUCCUACGGGAGGGAGCAGUAGGGAAUCUUACGCAAUGGGCGAAAGCCUGACGGAGCAACGCCGCGUGAGUGAUGAAGGUCUUCGGAUCGUAAAACUCUGUUAUUAGGGAAGAACAAACGUGUAAGUAACUGUGCACGUCUUGACGGUACCUAAUCAGAAAGCCACGGCUAACUACGUG
rnacentral:rRNA from 1 species